GGCGUGAGCCACUGCGCCCAGCCACCCUGCCCCUUCUGAGUUGGGAUGGGAUCUCCCUGAUCUGCUGUAGCUGCCCAAACCACAGCUGCAGAGCCAGGCCUCCUGUUCUAUGGAGCAGGCAGGAGCCAUGCCCUUCUGGGCGGGGCUACAGCCACCCAAACUGCAGCUGUGGAUCCGAGCCUCCCUGUGCUCUUGCGGGAGGCGGGAACAGGCAGGAUCUGCCCUACCUGGUGCAGCUGUAGCCAUUGCACCCGGGGCUGCAGACCUGGGCCUCCUGUUCCAGGAAGCAGGCAUGAGCUGGCGACUAGUGGGAGCCCCGCCCCUUCCAGGCAUUUCCUCCUCUCUGAGAUCCAUAAAAGCCCUGGGCUCAGACAGAGCAGGGCAGAGGACUGCCAGAGGACAAAGAGGGCAGAGAGACAAUAGGAUGGGAGGACCUGCUGCAGUGAGGAGCUACUGUCUCUGCUGAGAACUUCAGAGACUGAGAGACAUCCAAAUGACUUGCCUGCAAAGAGGAGCCACCUGUUCCAGGGCCUCACCUCUGCUGAGAGCUGAACACUCGUCAGGACGACCUGCCUAUAGAGAGGAGCUACUCACUCCUCUGAGCUGUUCCAACACUAAAUAAAACUCUUCUUCUUCACCCUUCACU
rnacentral:lncRNA from 1 species